rnacentral:rRNA from 1 species
AGAGUUUGAUCCUGGCUCAGGAUGAACGCUGGCGGCGUGCCUAAUACAUGCAAGUCGAGCGAACGGACGAGAAGCUUGCUUCUCUGAUGUUAGCGGCGGACGGGUGAGUAACACGUGGAUAACCUACCUAUAAGACUGGGAUAACUUCGGGAAACCGGAGCUAAUACCGGAUAAUAUUUUGAACCGCAUGGUUCAAAAGUGAAAGACGGUCUUGCUGUCACUUAUAGAUGGAUCCGCGCUGCAUUAGCUAGUUGGUAAGGUAACGGCUUACCAAGGCAACGAUGCAUAGCCGACCUGAGAGGGUGAACGGCCACACUGGAACUGAGACACGGUCCAGACUCCUACGGGAGGCAGCAGUAGGGAAUCUUCCGCAAUGGGCGAAAGCCUGACGGAGCAACGCCGCGUGAGUGAUGAAGGUCUUCGGAUCGUAAAACUCUGUUAUUAGGGAAGAACAUAUGUGUAAGUAACUGUGCACAUCUUGACGGUACCUAAUCAGAAAGCCACGGCUAACUACGUGCCAGCAGCCGCGGUAAUACGUAGGUGGCAAGCGUUAUCCGGAAUUAUUGGGCGUAAAGCGCGCGUAGGCGGUUUUUUAAGUCUGAUGUGAAAGCCCACGGCUCAACCGUGGAGGGUCAUUGGAAACUGGAAAACUUGAGUGCAGAAGAGGAAAGUGGAAUUCCAUGUGUAGCGGUGAAAUGCGCAGAGAUAUGGAGGAACACCAGUGGCGAAGGCGACUUUCUGGUCUGUAACUGACGCUGAUGUGCGAAAGCGUGGGGAUCAAACAGGAUUAGAUACCCUGGUAGUCCACGCCGUAAACGAUGAGUGCUAAGUGUUAGGGGGUUUCCGCCCCUUAGUGCUGCAGCUAACGCAUUAAGCACUCCGCCUGGGGAGUACGACCGCAAGGUUGAAACUCAAAGGAAUUGACGGGGACCCGCACAAGCGGUGGAGCAUGUGGUUUAAUUCGAAGCAACGCGAAGAACCUUACCAAAUCUUGACAUCCUUUGACAACUCUAGAGAUAGAGCCUUCCCCUUCGGGGGGCAAAGUGACAGGUGGUGCAUGGUUGUCGUCAGCUCGUGUCGUGAGAUGUUGGGUUAAGUCCCGCAACGAGCGCAACCCUUAAGCUUAGUUGCCAUCAUUAAGUUGGGCACUCUAAGUUGACUGCCGGUGACAAACCGGAGGAAGGUGGGGAUGACGUCAAAUCAUCAUGCCCCUUAUGAUUUGGGCUACACACGUGCUACAAUGGACAAUACAAAGGGCAGCGAAACCGCGAGGUCAAGCAAAUCCCAUAAAGUUGUUCUCAGUUCGGAUUGUAGUCUGCAACUCGACUACAUGAAGCUGGAAUCGCUAGUAAUCGUAGAUCAGCAUGCUACGGUGAAUACGUUCCCGGGUCUUGUACACACCGCCCGUCACACCACGAGAGUUUGUAACACCCGAAGCCGGUGGAGUAACCUUUUAGGAGCUAGCCGUCGAAGGUGGGACAAAUGAUUGGGGUGAAGUCGUAACAAGGUAGCCGUAUCGGAAGGUGCGGCUGGAUCACCU